CACUCUAUACGGAGUUACAAAGGACGACAUUAGACGAAUCAUCUGGAAAGAUGAAUCAAAGAAGGUAAUAAUCCUGUAGUCGAAAAUGUUGUCUCUCUUGAGUGGAUCCUGAGUACGACGGAGCACGGGAAAUUCCGUCGGAAUCUGGGAGGACCAUCUCCUAAGGCUAAAUACUCUCUAGUGACCGAUAGUGAACCAGUACCGUGAGGGAAAGGUGAAAAGCACCCCGGAAGG
rnacentral:rRNA from 1 species